AAUUAGUGAUAUUGCUUUUGUAUAAUUCCAUUGCAAUUAUACCGUUAAUACCUCGUUAAUUAUCCUCGAUUAAUUAAUUGAAUGCAUUAAUUACAUAAGCAGUUCAUUUAUAAACAUACAUGUACUGCAUUUGCCACAACCACUUGACAAUAACUAAUUAACAUUUUUAUUGAUAAACCGGCGGAGUGUUCAGAACAAAUACUAUAUCCUUUACAACUGAAUGAAAAAAUGUAUGGAAAUGAACUUGUUAUUUAACACAAUAAUUGCAGUGCAGUUGUAAGUAAGAAAAGGGUUUUCGUAUAAAUAGUUUGCUGCGUGGUGAAACAAAUCAGUGAUAUUCUGUUAUCUAGAAGAAACACAACUAUUCAACAUGAAAUCCAUGAUCUUUGCCCUUGUCGUACUCUUCGUCUUGGCCGCCGUCCAAGCCAGCAUCAUCGCUCCCGCCGUUGUGGGUGUGGGACACGUUGGAGUGGUGGCUCCGCGUUGGGGUGCCGUUGCCGUUGGAGUUCCAGCCGUCGGUGUUGUCGGCCACGGAGUCCAUUGGUAAACCCCAACUUGAACAAGCCGGCACCAAAUGAUUUAUUUAAAAAUAUUGCUUUUGGGGUGUAGUUAAUCGGUGUUUUAGUUAGACUCUACAGAACGUGGAUUAUCCAUCCCCAAAAAUUUCUUUGUGUCGUAAACUUUAAAAAAUUAAUAAAAAGAUAUUUUUUAUCAA